rnacentral:lncRNA from 1 species
AAAGGGGGCUAUUUGAACGUGUGUGUGAAGAAUUAGGAUUAAAAGGGAAAAUACCCCCACCCAUUCAAAACGGCGCCGUCCGCAUAUUGGCCCUUCAGCAACACAAGGACUAAAUUAAAACCAUAAGCAAACUACGGGUCCAAAUCAAAAUGAACAUAGGGCCCCACUGAAACACGCUACAAAAGGGAGAGACUCAUUGCACAAAUAUACCCUCGAGGACCAAAACGCGCGGAUCUAUCCACAUAUGGGUCGGGUCAUCGGGUUAUGGCACCUGAACGGUACCGUUUUGGCCAUUAUAAUGCUAUGUUGAAACGGCACCGUUUCAAUGGGGUUAUAAAUACUUAAGAAAAUAAAAGAAAAUUUCAUUUUUUGACCUUCCUUAAAAAAAAACCACAAGAAAACCCUCUGAAAAGAGAGGAAUCGGUCCUCUGAGCGCCGAUCUAUAGCUGGCCGGGCUCCGAUCAUCGGACCGUCAUGCUCCGCCGUGCCCACCGCCGUGUGCGGUGGCCGACGCACACGAAAAAAGGCUCCUUUUUCCUUUUUAAACCCCCGAACCCGAAUAUGCCUUCAAAACCAACGACGAAACCUCCUAAAAUGUGAUAUGAACCGUAGACGAUUCGGAUUCCGACUCUGAUUUACCCCAAACAGGUAAAAGUUUCCUUUUCUAUUAUCUCUAUCUAUAUAUGCAGUAGAUUAGAAGCAAGAUAUACUGGAAAUAUACGAAAUAUACCUUUCAUUUUUGUAUUCAAAAAAAUGUGUAAAAAAAGAGGAACCACAAGAGUUACUGGCUUCGCUUUUUUUUAUAGCCGAAUGAAAAAAAUACACAGUAUUAUUCUUUUCUUUUGUUUCUGCGAUUGUUGUUGCGUGUUGGUGUUUGUUUCUUUCCCAUUUCGGUUCUUUUGCAAGUGUAGAAGGAAGUCAACGAGCGGGGGCUUCCCUUUUGGUGCAAGGGCUGUGCAGAGCCAUCCUCGAGCGCUGAGCUCGCUACGGAAGCACGUGGGGAGGCAGAGGGAGGUGCGGCGCUUAGGGUUGUCUAGGGUUUCGGCUUAGCCGAAACUAGUUUGGGCCUUGGGCAUAUUGGGCCAAUAAGGACCGGUUUGGUUUAGUGUUUUGGACCAGAGGGUCGUAGGUAUAGGUAUGGGUUGUUUGGGUUUGGUUCAAUUUGGGUUAAUGUGUAAAUGGACUUUUAUUUUGGACUUUUAAUAAGCUUUGGGUUUUAAUACAUCUUUGAUUUAUCUGUUUUUUUGUUUGAAAUUGGUUUGAGAUGGGUUUGAAAUGGUUUUGAACUGCCCCGGGCAUAUUUGGGCUCGCACAAUAAUUAUGGUAACAAUUAGAGCUUUAUUUAGAAAAGGUCAUGAUAUACUUAUAUUAGCAGUUCUAUUAGAUAAAAGAUUUGAAAAUCGAUAUAAGUAUUUAUUGGUGGUAUUCAGUCUAAUUUACACACUAAGGUAAUAGGAUUUAAAGUUAAACCAAACUAUUUUAUAUCCAUUACAGAUCCUCUAAUAGAAGAGUGUUUAUGUUUAAAAAAUCAGACAAAAAACUCUGAAAUUAACGAUUUAGCAGAAGAUCUGGCAAUAAGUUGGACUUCUAUUAA